CAACUACCGCUACCGACGCCUGUCGAGACCACCACCGAAGACCCACAUAGACAAUAGUAAAAAGCCAGGUUCAUGAAGGAACCCUUGAUAAGAACAGAUGUCACAUGAGGCAGUUUGACUAAAAUGUCUGAGGAUCUGUGGUAAACAGUGGUGUUUUUAAGAGUAACAGCAUCCAGAUGGUGGGAGAACAACUGGCCCCGUGGAGCUCAGCAAACUGUGGGCAAUCAGGCCUUCAUUAAUCCCCAACUGAGGACCUGCCAAAUGCUGGUAGACCCACAGAAAAAGCAGACACAUAGUGGAGUGAGCCCUUUAAAUGCCUGGAGGGAACCACUAAAGCAGUAGCUUUAAGCCUGCUGUGGUUUAUGAUGUUUGUUUUUUACUAUGUAGGUUUGAGCUCAUUGUAAAGUAAAAAAGCACAUUAUGCUUACUUUAGUUCAUCAACAUGUCUGAAUGAUUUAUUAAUAACUCAAUAUUUGAUCUAACUCUCUUAAUUACUCUAGAGCAUUGCUUUUACUG